AUGGACGAGGCAAGCUCAGACGCCGCCGCAAAGGCCGCGGCCGUGCGGGCUGUCGCCGUUUCCUGGGUUGCGCCGUCGAUGCUCGGGGAGGGGCAGCGCGGGGAACGCCUGAAACUUUCCUUCCUUGAUUCGUUGUGGGUCGUGCUGCCUCCGAUCCAGCGGGUGUUCCUGUACCAGCUUGGGGAGGACGGCGGCGACGGCUUCCAGUUCCAGGCGGUGGUCGAGCGACUCAAGCGCGCUCUCGCGGACACGCUGGCGCACUACCUCCCCCUGGCGGGGACGCUGGAGUACGAGGUGGAGACCGGGGACGCCUUCGUGGACUGCACUGCAAACGCCGGGGUCGCCUUCCUCGAGGCCGAGGGCGACAUGGAUGUGCGGCGUCUAGCUGGCGACGAGGCGCACGACAUCCUCGCAUUCCUGAGCCUCGUGCCGGAGCUGGAUGCCCGGGUGCUCCCGGCGCCCGUGCUGUCAGUACAGGCUACUCGUCUAAGCGCCGGCCUGGCGGUCGGCCUGUGCGUGCACCACGCCGUCGCCGACGGACGCACCGUGUGGCGAUUCAUGGAGGCAUGGUCUUCCGCUUCCCGUGAGGGCUCCCCAGUCACCAAGGUCCUCGGCCCGCCACACUACAGCCGCGACGUCAUCCAUCACGCGAACGCCGACGAGCUCGCCCGCGAGAUGCUAAAGACCGUCGGGCCCAAUCUCCCAGAGGUGAGAGGACAGCACGACUUCAGCCAGCGGUUCCUGCUGGCGCGCCGGACGUUCUACCUCGGCACCGACGACAUCCAGUCGCUUAGGCGGCGGAUCGACGACCUCGCCUCCGCCGAGGCUGCCGCCGCCGGUGGCGACGCGCCCAAGCUGAAACCGGUGUCGACGUUCGUGGCGCUGGCGGCGCUGAGCUGGACGGCGUUCGUUCGUUCCAAGGGGCUCGGCGCCGGGGACGACACGUACCUGGUGUUCCUCGCCGACCUGCGCUCCCGCCUCGACCCGCAUGUGAGCGAGGCUUACCUCGGCAACUGCGUGCGCGCGUGCCUGGCG
rnacentral:rRNA from 1 species